ACGGCAGCCGGGGGCAACCCUGGUGGCGAGUGGCGAACGGGUGAGUAAUAUAUCGGAACGUACCCAGUAGUGGGGGAUAACUAUCCGAAAGGAUAGCUAAUACCGCAUACGAUCUGUGGAUGAAAGCAGGGGAUCUUCGGACCUUGUGCUAUUGGAAUGGCCGAUAUCUGAUUAGCUAGUUGGUAGGGUAAAAGCCUACCAAGGCGACGAUCAGUAGCUGGUCUGAGAGGACGACCAGCCACACUGGAACUGAGACACGGUCCAGACUCCUACGGGAGGCAGCAGUGGGGAAUUUUGGACAAUGGGGGCAACCCUGAUCCAGCAAUGCCGCGUGAGUGAAGAAGGCCCUCGGGUUGUAAAGCUCUUUUGUCAGGGAAGAAACGGUGAUCUCUAAUAUAGAUUGCUAAUGACGGUACCUGAAGAAUAAGCACCGGCUAACUACGUGCCAGCAGCCGCGGUAAUACGUAGGGUGCAAGCGUUAAUCGGAAUUACUGGGCGUAAAGCGUGCGCAGGCGGUUUUGUAAGUCUGAUGUGAAAUCCCCGGGCUCAACCUGGGAACUGCAUUGGAGACUGCAAGGCUAGAGUGUGUCAGAGGGGGGUAGAAUUCCACGUGUAGCAGUGAAAUGCGUAAAGAUGUGGAGGAAUACCGAUGGCGAAGGCAGCCCCCUGGGAUAACCCUGACGCUCAUGCACGAAAGCGUGGGGAGCAAACAGGAUUAGAUACCCUGGUAAUCCCACGCCCUAAACGAAGUCUACUAGUUGCCGGGACCUUAUUGUCUUGGUAAC
rnacentral:rRNA from 1 species